rnacentral:rRNA from 1 species
CCAAUAGCGUAUAUUAAAGUUGUUGCAGUUAAAAAGCUCGUAGUUGAAUUUCGGGGUUAGUAAGUUGGUCAUGCCUUCGGUAUGUACUGGCUUUACUGAUUCCUCCUUCUUGACGAACCGUGAUGUCAUUAAUUUGGUGUUGCGGGAAAUCAGGACUGUUACUUUGAAAAAAUUAGAGGGUUUAAAGCAGGCUAACGCUUGAAUACAUUAGCAUGGAAUAAUGAAAUAGGACGUUAAUCCUAUUUUGUUGGUUUCUAGGAUCGACGUAAUGAUUAAUAGGGAUAGUUGGGGGCAUUAGUAUUCAAUUGUCAGAGGUGAAAUUCUUGGAUUUAUUGAAGACUAACUACUGCGAAAGCAUUUGCCAAGGAUGUUUUCAUUAAUCAAGAACGAAAGUUAGGGGAUCGAAGACGAUCAGAUACCGUCGUAGUCUUAACCAUAAACUAUGCCGACUAGGGAUCGGAUGAUGUUAUUUUUAAUGACUCAUUCGGCGCCUUACG